GCAUAAAAUUGCUCAUUAUAAGAUCUCUGAGUACAUCUAUUGCUCUCAGUGAAAGAUGUUGCUUUUAAAUGCUAUUAUGAUUUUGCUACUUUCUGGACAUUAUUUUACUCAAGAUGACACCAACAUUACUCCUAACUAUUGCUCAAGAAUGGGGUUCACACUUUGGAGCAAUUUGACACUAACUUGUAGUCGAAAUUGCAGCCCACAAGCAGAAAGCGAUCUUGAUAUAUGGCAUUUUCAACCAGGAGAAAAUCUGCUCCUGAUUCAACUAAAUCUACAUAAUUGCAGCUUUAAUUACAGCAUAAUUAGUGACAACCAGCUGAUAAUAAACGAUUUUGAAGACGAUGCUGGAGUAACUUUAAGUUUAAGCAACAACAACACUGAAGAUUCGUGUAAUGCAGGUGAAGUGAUUGAGAUUCACUCACCAUAGAGAAUGCAAGGAGAAGUAUUGAUGGGCUUGUGGUUACUUGUGGAGCUAAUAUAACUGAGAAUGAUGAAACCACUUACUGGAGGACUUCAAACUCAACCGUGUUAUAUCUAAAGAGUCAAAUUACGACAUACGCAACCUCUAAAAUAACAGUGUUUCCUGGUAGCAGUACCACAAUCAGCUGUACCCGUCAACACUUUCCUGAUAGAGAGGUCUAUAAUCGAUGGAGACUUCAACGACCAAGUAAAGAUUAUGUCGACCUCAUUGAACGUAGUGGUCAAGCAGACCAAUUUUUUGAGGACACUGGCGUAACGUUGGAAUUGAAUACAAGUUCCAACACAUGUAAGUAUGAUGAGUUUGUGAACUACACUCUUACUAUUGGAAACAUUAACCAAAACGUUGAUGGAAUGUUGAUAAAAUGUGGAGUUAGAACAAUUAGCGGAACUGCCAACCAUGAUGAAUGGUAUGCUGACCACUCAGUGGAACUAGUUUUACAUAACACAACUGAGCUUGAAGCUACCAUAGUAGACACAAUGGCACAGCUGGAGGAGUGUAACGUUGAGAACGUUGCCAUUAGAGAGAACAUAACUGAGCUUCAAGAGAAGUGCAAAAACGAACAAGAUACCUUUAAAGUAGCCACAUCGAAAAAGCUGGAGGAUUGCAAAAAUGAAAAAGAUAACACAACUAAGCUUGUAAAUGCCACCACGGCACAGCUGGAUAAGUGCAGCGCUGAAAAGGGCAUCAUUGGAGGUACACUCGGAGCAAUUUUACUAGCACUUUUUGCUGCCGUCAUCGUAGUUUUAAUAAUUAUAAUUUUAUAUCAACAACAAAGAAUUAAUAGAGUACAUUCACAACAACAACAAAUUGAAUGUGUUAUCAUACCUAAUUAACAGUAUAUAGCAACUGGAAAUCAUAACCCCUAAAAUUGUUUCUUUCUGUCACUAUAAUUAAUAAUAAGAAUCUCAAUAUAAAUAUUAUGUUAGUCUAUUCUUCGA